rnacentral:tRNA from 1 species
GUCUCUGUGGCGGAAUUGGUUAGCGCGUUCGGCUGUUAGACCGAAAGGUUGCUGGUUCAAGCCCAGCCAGGGACG